rnacentral:lncRNA from 1 species
CUCUAGUCCUAUUGUUGCAACCCUUGCAUGGGCAAAGCGCCGUAACCUUCAGCACCCCGCUGUUAUCCUGUUCCAAAAAUCAGACCACAAAAAAUUAGACAAAAAAGGGGAAAAAUAGAUAAAAAUGGAACCUUUAUUCUUCAAUAGCCUGUCCCAAUCCUUGCAUGGGCAAAGCGCCGUAAUCUUCAGCACCAUUGUUAGACUGUCCCAAAAAUCAAACCACAAAAAAUUAGACAAAAAAAACAAGAAAAAAAAUAGAAUAUUGAUGGGAAACAGAAUAUGGACGAACGCAAAAGAAUAAAGGAGGAGAAACAAAAGCGGAGAAGUUGAGGAAGAGAAAGAAAGGGGAAUUGAAUAUUGACAGAGAAGAAAAGAGGAGAAGUU